AAGUCGUAACAAGGUUUCCGUAGGUGAACCUGCGGAAGGAUCAUUAACAUAAACCCCCCCGUGAACCUUCAGUGCGCUCGCACUUUCUUAGAAAAGGUAGCAAUCCCUGGUAAAUCAUUGUUUUGAUUCAGGGACUUCUGCGUAGACUGUGCUUGAGCGUGAGGCAAGUGGCCUGGCAUUCCUCUGCUUGUUGGUGUCUGAAAGUGUCACCAGCUCUGUACGAAUGGCGCAGUCACGAUCGCUAGAGGCCGACACGGCCGGCGACCGGGUCACUGGGCGCGAGCCCCCCUCGUCACCUUUGCAUGAAAACGGGCCUGCGCUUAAUUGUGCGGCCACCAAACUCGAACAACUGUUAACAAUGGAUAUCUUGGUUCUC
rnacentral:misc_RNA from 1 species